UGAGGACAGCAGAGGAAGGUGGAAUUCCCGGUGUAGUGGUGAAAUGCGUAGAUAUCGGGAGGAACACCCGUGGCGAAGGCGGCCCUUCUGAGCUGUUCCUGACGCUGAAGGCGAAAGCUAGGGGAGCGAACGGGAUUAGAUACCCCGGUAGUCCUAGCUGUAAACGAUGGAUGCUGGGUGUGGGGGGUGUAAAUUCCCUCUGUGCCGAAGCAAACGCGUUAAGCAUCCCGCCUGGGGACUACGGCCGCAAGGCUAAAACUCAAACGAAUUGACGGGGGCCCGCACAAGCAGCGGAGCGUGUGGUUUAAUUCGAUGCUACACGAAGAACCUUACCUGGGUUUGACAUGCACGUGGUAGGGAACCGAAAGGGGACCGACCUUCGGGAGCGUGCACAGGUGCUGCAUGGCUGUCGUCAGCUCGUGCCGUGAGGUGUCGGGUUAAGUCCCGUAACGAGCGCAACCCUUGCCCUUAGUUACAAGUGUCUAAGGGGACUGCCCGGGACAACUGGGAGGAAGGUGGGGAUGACGUCAAGUCAGCAUGGCCUUUAUAUCCAGGGCUACACACACGCUACAAUGGCCGGUACAAUAGGUUGCGAAGUCGUGAGGCGGAGCCAAUCCUCAAAGCCGGUCUCAGUUCGAAUUGCAGUCUGCAACUCGACUGCAUGAAGCUGGAGUUGCUAGUAAUCGCAGGUCAGCUAUACUGCGGUGAAUACGUUCCCGGGCCUUGUACACACCGCCCGUCACGUCAUGGAAGCUGGCAACGCCUGAAGCCGGUGAGCUAACCCGAAAGGGAGGCAGCCGUCGAGGGUGGGGCUGGUAACUGGGACGAAGUCGUAACAAGGUAACCAAGGGCGAA
rnacentral:rRNA from 1 species